UACAGAGGUCUCAAGCGUUGUUCGGAUUCAUUGGGCGUAAAGGGUGCGUAGGCGGCGCCGUAAGUCAGGUGUGAAAUCUCGGGGCUUAACUCCGAAACUGCGUUUGAUACUACGGUGCUUGAGGACUGGAGAGGAGACUGGAAUUUACGGUGUAGCAGUGAAAUGCGUAGAGAUCGUAAGGAAGACCAGUGGCGAAGGCGGGUCUCUGGACAAUUACUGACACUGAGGCACGAAGGCCAGGGGAGCAAACGGG
rnacentral:rRNA from 1 species